AGGGGCGUGGCGCGGCGAUGUUCCCGCGCCUGCGGCUCUCAGGCCCCCCUUCCCCUACGACCCGGGCGCCUAGACGGUCCCUGCGGAAGGAGCCGAGGGGAAGCCUUCCCGCUCGCGGGAUCCGGGGCCCUGGAGCCCAUGGGCCGCGAUGAGCCCGCCCGUCCCCUUCCCUCACAGGUCCCCGUUCUGAGGGUCAGCACGGCCUUCUAGAAGGUCCGGGACGGAUUCGUAGCGCUCCCAGGGAGACUGGGAGACGGGGAAGGAGAACUGGCGACCACACGGGGCUGGCGGUGUAGCGCGGCCGCCCCACCUCGGGCCACGCCCCACUCGGGCCCGAGCUCUCUGGCGCCGCCUGUGGUGAGCUUCACGGCCCCGGGGCCCCGACGUGUGGCGGCCCCUCUGCAUCCCAGCCCGCUGCGUUCGCGGAACGCUCCUGAGUGUGUCUCUGGGCGGGUUCGCUGCGAAGCACGGACGCCCCCUCCUCCUGCACACAAGGUGCUGUGCACAGUAGGGCCGAGCGGGCAGCCUGGUCGCGGGAGGACGUGGCGCCUGUCAGAGGCGUCUGUCCACGCUUCUGGAGAUGGGGACGCAGGAAGGUGACAGUCUCCCAGUGUCACUCGACAGGGUGGUCUGCCACGGGGGAUUCCUGUUGUGCGCCAGGACGACCAGUGGUUGGGCACCGGCUGGGGCCCUCUCACUUCCUGGGGAGGCCUGAAGGUGAAACUGGAGUUUCCUGACAACUGAGAAUGCUCGCUUAACCAGAGGCUUGUGGUAAGAGGCAGCCCAGCACAGCGCAGCCCGGCGCAGGCGGGAGCAAGGAGCAGGAUGGCAGCAGGGUUAGCAUCUGAGCAGCAUAACACAGCAGGCUUGGCAGAGCAAUGGCAGCACCCAGGGACAGGGGACAGGAGGUCCAAGCCACAGGUAUCACUGCUGGGUUGCAAGAGCAGAGCGGCUGAGCAGCCUCUAGGGCCCCAUAGUGCCCGAGGAAAGGGGAGGGACAGUGACGUUAUGAUCUGGAGCUCAGCUGUGGAGGCUCAGGAGGCUGUGGGCUGUGUGGCCUGGCAGCAAGAGCACCCCUGCAGCCCGGCCUCCCGCCAGGAAAGCAGCUGGGAGCACCAAACCUGCUUGAGUUCAAGGGGCCCCCUGGCCAGCCUGCCACCAUAUCCCCCUUCAGCCAAGGGCUCCCACUACACUAGGCUCUGUGCUGGCCUUCCACAGCUCUCCUGACUCUAGACCUGCCGUGCAUGCUGCCUUGUGAGGCCUCACUCAUGCCUGCCCUACAACAUCUACCUAGUGAGUUGGGACCCAUCCUAAUCACUUCCCCUGACUUCCCAUUUCCCCACCCAGCCCCAGGCCACCAGCAGGUCGUAGUCACACCAUCCUCAAAGUACACUUCCUAACUGGGUUUCCACCUAAAGCCCCACAGCCACCCAUCUGGCCCAAGUCAACCCUCUGGCUUGUCUGAAAGCGACUUAAACCCUCUAGUGGGGCUCCCUGCCUCCAUUCCACACACACAGUGGCCUGGGAAACAAGGCCACUCUGAGUCUUGCCCUUUACCACUGGCCAAGGCCCCGAGAUCAGGCUUUUCCCAAUGCCCAGCUUCUGCUGUCCCUCUGCCCCCGACACACCUUCACUUCAGAUCCUGUAGCCUGUUCUACAAAGUUAUCUAGCCCCUGCCACAAAACCCUAUCCACCCCUCUAACUCUCCCUGGACACCUGCCCGAGUGCCAGGCCUGCAGCCUUCAGAGACCUUUUUGGGUAGCUGCAGCCUAUUAUCAGCACCUCUGGGUUUUCCCUGGCUGGGCAGGCAAACCCUAUGCCUAGCUGGGGACUAUGUGAAUAACGUCACUGCUCAAGGGAUAGAGAAGGAGGGAAGGAGAAAGAUGGGCCAGAGUGCACUUUGGGGCUCUGAGGCUGGGCUGGGCCCUGCCAUGCUGGCCGCCCAAGCAGUCGACACUGGCGCUACUGCACUACCAGCCAGCCCCACCCGCUCAUGCACCUCCCCCGGCCUGGGACGCAGAGGCCCCUGGGAGGUGGGGAUGGAGGUCUGUGGAUCUGAUCAGGGCUAAAGACUCCCAGUGAGUGGGGGAGGCCCCUGUCCCCUUAGCCCAUGCAUGAGCCCCUGUGAGAAGGAAGCACCCGCUGCCCAUCACCGGGUGCUUCCUGGGGGUGCCAAGAUCCCCAGACCCCAAAGUCCCCAGUGGGAUGCCUCUCAGGAUACACCUCACCCCAAAGCUCUCAGCUGCAACCCGAGUUCUCAGAUGGAGAAAUGGAAGCCCAGAGAGGGGAAGAGCUGGAGUGUUCAUGCUCAGCUCCAGAAACCUCCCUGGGCCCUAACCCUCCAGCCCAUGGCCUUAUCUUGUGCAGCCUCCCCACUCUGUCUCUGCCUAGAGCUGCAGCUGGAACUGUCCUGGAAAUUAGCAAUGAAGAGGAAAGGAAGCUGCCCCUCUGGGCAGGAGGGGCAUUGGCCCCAGCAAGCAGCUUACCUAGCCCGUGACCUCCGAUUGACACUGAGGUGAGAGGGCAGAGAGCAAGGAGAAAGGUCAGGUUUCUACCUAGCUCUGCUGUCAUCUGAGGCUCUUCUACCAACUGCAAACUGGGCCUUCAGGCUCCUUCCCUAAACUUCAAAGAGGUCACUACCUCCCUGACCUCCUGCUCCCAGGUGCGUAAACCUUUACUCACCUUUAGGCCCCUGUACUUUGACAUGAAGCGGGGCAACACCAGCCUUGCUUGUGUCCACCUGGAAGGACUGAGGGAGGUUGGCACGGACCAUGCCUGGGCUCAGACCUGGCCCAGAGCACUUGACCUUGGAUGCAUCUGUCACAUCAUGCACAGGAACCUUAAAGGGACUACCUGGGAUUCGGGCAGAGGGAUGGCAGCUUCAUAAGUCAGAAUAGGCAUAAUCAGGCAGUCCUAGCCCUGUCCCACUGUCACCUCCUCACCUGGAACUUGGUGGCCACCAUAGGUGACAUUGAGGCUGUAGGUGCCGGCCUCGUAGGGGAUGUACUCUACUGAACAACUGCCAUCUUUGUUAUCCAUGCAGGACAUCUUCGCCUCUGAGGGGCCCUCUACAGCCAGGCCCAGGCCACCUGUGCCAGCUCCCCUGGUCCAAGCAAAUAGCCUGUCAUUCCCUGGGGUUCCCAGGCCCAUUGGCUACCCACUUGCCUCCCUGGUAGCACAUUCACCUGGUCUCCACUGUGAACUUGUUGGGUUUGUUGGUGGUACCACUUUGGAUGCCCGGCCCGUGGACACGCACCCUGGAAGGGUCGCAGCCCUCGGUCACAGGUACCUGGAAGGGGCUGCUAGGCACAGGACUGCCAUCAUAGGUCACGUCAACAGAGUGGAGUCCUGGAGGGCAGGCCAGGUCAGGAGGAGCCCAGGCUGCCCCACCUGCCCUGCCUGCCCAAGAGAGCCCCAGCACAUACCCUCCUCGUACGGUGUAUAUUCUACUUUGUAUGUGCCAUCACCACAGUCUUGCACAUAGGUUUCAGUCAGGUUGCCAGAGGGGUUGGCUACACGGGCCUUGACAUGUGGCCCUCCAGUCUGUGUCAGAGCCCGGGCAUCCACGCUGAACUCAGUGGUAGCCUCUCGGAAGACUCCUGGAGAGGGACGCAAUGAAGCCAGGGUUACAGGGACCCUGCCCCCCCGCCCCCGAACUCCCCCAUGUACCCAAGAGCAGGCCUCUUUACCUUGGCCCUCAAUCCCAGGCCCAUAGCAUUGGACGCCUGAGGUGUCCACAGCAGGCUCCACCUGAAGCUUGCUGGGGAAGUUGGGCACAGGCUGGCCGCCGUACUUAAUGGUGACAGUGUAGGCCCCAGGGCAGAGAGGAAUGUAGGUGAUGGUGUGUGUGCCAUCACCGUGGUCCUGGAUGUACACUUCAGCCGGCAGUCCUGCCUCGGAGCAGAUCUCAAUGGUCAACUCUGCACUGCCUGCACUUGAGCAGUCCACUUGGAACUGGCCCACCUCUCCAGCAGUGGCCCGCUCCAGCCCAGGGCCUGAGCACUUGACCUUGGAUGCAUCAAAACAGGGAACCACGUGGGCCUUGAAUGGGGAGCCAGGGAUGUGGGUGUCGGCAAAAAGGAUGUUGAUGUUGUAGUCCCCAGGCUCGGUGGGCACGUAGGAUACAGAACAUGUGCCAUCCCCAUUGUCCAGGCACUCAAGCUGCGCCUCGCAGGGGCCUUCCACUGUUAGGCCGAGGCCACCUGUCCCGGCACCCUUGGUGUCGAUGGUGAAGCGGGCAGGGGAGCCUGCACUGCCUCCUUGCAGCCCUGGCCCAAAAGCCUUCACCUAAGGGAAGAGCAGAUUGGAAGCUGAGACUGCACUACCACCAGCAAACCUCCUUUUGCCCUGGUUUUCCUCCCCUACCAAACAGGAACAGGAACAGGUUGCCUACAGCUAUGCCACCAUUCUCCAUUAUAAGGGCAAGUCUGGAGAAGAUGGAGUGCCCCCCAAGGACCCUCAGAAAGCACAGUGGGCUCCACCCUUAGAGCCUCCCAAUCCCAAUUACCUUGCUAGGUUUGGUGGGGGCCAUGGCUUCCAGAGGAAAAGGGCUGCCAGGCACAGGUACACCAUCAUAGGUCACCUCUACCUCAUAGGGCCCCUCCUCACGGGGCACAAAGCGCACCACACUAUUGUCGGCCCCCAGGCCUGGCUCCACCUUGCAGGGCACCACUGCACCUGAGGGGCCCACGAUCUUGGAGGCCACUUUGCCUUGACCACCUGCACCCUUUGACUUGACUGUGAACUCCUGAUCUUUGCCAACAUCCACUUCUGUUGAGAUAAGAAAGGAGAGAAAAAGAGAACCAUGGCACCUAGCUUAGGUAGGCCCUGGGUGCUCUUCAGUGACUACAGAAAGUACUCAACUACUCACUCUCUCCUAGGCCAGACACCUUGAUCUUGCUGAGGUCCAGGCUUGGAGACACCCCAACUGAGAAAGGACUCUUGGGGAUGGGAUCCCCUCCAUAAGUGACAUUGACACCUACUGGGCCCUGAGAGGGGUACAGAAGGGCAACAAUCAUCAGUCAAUACCCUGGUCUCCUUGGCCUGCAAGUGCCCUGCUUGGGAAGAGGGCUUCAGACACUGGCUUUACUCCCCAGCUCCCUUCCCAGGUGAGAAAUCAGACUUGAUGGGAAGCCCCUUGGAGCAGCCCACCUAGCCCACCCCUUACAAGGAAGCCCACAGACUAGAUGACUGUAGUGGAGGGGUGUGGCUGCAGGGGGUCAAGAUGGCUACCUGCUGCACAGGAGUGUACUUGACUGUGUAGGUGUUGUCAUGGUGAUCAAUGAUGUCCAGAUCUCGCACCACAUCCCCUUUAGCCAGACCUGAGAACUGGACGUCCAGCUUGCCUUUGCCAGCAGCUUUGGCGUUGACGGUGAAAUGGGUGGGUUUGCCAAGCUCAAUGCCUAAGGAGACAAAACAACCAUAUACAGGGGCACCUUGCUCUGAGCACCCCCACCCUUGAUGUCUCAUAAUUUCCCAGAGUAUUCAUCUUUACCAGUGCGAUUGAGGCCAGGGCCCUCUGCCUUCACCUUGCUGGCAUCAUGGGAGGGCUCCACCUUAACCCGGAUGGGGCUGGUGGGUGUUGCCUGUAAGUGGUAGGGGAAGGGUUGAGAAGAGCAAUACCUCAACAACCAGAAAUCUAGGGGCCAGAAGCAGUAGACCAACCUGGUCAGCAAAAAGGACCAUGAUAGUAUAACUGCCAGCUCCACGGGGUGUGUACUUGACUGUGAAAGUAUCAUUGUCAUUGCGGAUGAUGUCAAAGUCGAUGUCAGCCUCAGCAGGGCCCACCACACCAGGAGCACACUUGAUGCCAAUGCUGACAUCACCUGUCGUGGUGGGAAUCAGCAGAAGCUGGGAUUUUGUGGGGAUAUUCCCCACUCCGGUCUUCCCACCCAGGGCCAGGCCUUACCCUGGCCAGCCUCUGUGCAGUCCACAGUGAAAUAGGUGGGCUCAUGUGCCUUGAGCCCUGUCUUGGCCACACCUGGGCCAUACACCUUGACCUUGUUUGGAUGGCUUCCAGCUCCCACAUUCACCUGUAGAGUACAGGGACAAGUGCAGGACAUGACCAGCCUGGGGAGGCAGAGGCUCCCUCAGCUACUGGUGUAAAAUAAGCAAAAUGGUGCAGCUGCCUUGGGGAAAGUCUGACAGUUCUUCAAAAGAUUAAACAGAGAUCAUAUGACACCACAGCUCUGCUCCUACAUAGCUACCCAAGAAAAACAAAAACCUAGAUCCACCAAACUCAUUUUACAUGAAUGUUCCUAGCAGUGCUAUAUACAAUAGCCCCAAAGUAAACACAUCCCAAAGGUCCAUCACAUAAAAAAGAUAGUCACAAUGUGGUCCAUCCAUACCAUGAAAUAUUUGAUCAUAAAAAGGAAUGAGGCAUGGGCUGGGUUGUGACUCAGUGGUAGAGUGCUUGCCUUGCAUGUGUGAGGCACUGGGUUCAAUACUCAGGACCACAUAAAAAUAAGUAAACAAAAUAAAGAUAUUGUGCCCAGGUAUAACUAAAAAAAGUAUUUUUUUAAAAAAGGAAUGAAGCACUGAUACAUGCUCAGUGUGGAUGAAACUUAACAGGAUAUGCAGUGCAGAAGCCAAACACAAAAAGUCACAUAGUAUAUGAUUCCAUUUAUAUGAAAGGCCCAGAAGCAGCAAAUUCAUACAGUGGGAGAGCAGGUUAGUGGUUGCCAGGACCUGGGGGAGGGGAGAGGUGGGAGGGUGAGUUUCAUUGGGCAUGAUGAAAAUUGUCCUAAACUUAGAUUGUGGUAAUGAUUGCACAACUCAGUGAAUGUACUAGUACUGAGCUGUCCAUUUUAAAUGAGCUCACCCGGAAGGGGCUAUUGGGGAUGCUGACACCUCCCCAGGACACCAUGGCUGUGUGCUUCACUGGCUUCCUUGGCACAUAAGAGCAGCUGUAAGUUCCAUUGCCGUUGUCUUUGACUGAUGCCUCUACAGGACAGCCCUCAUUAUCCUGCAAGAUUGGUAAAAGCAGGCAGCCUGCUGGUCAGUGCCCAGGCCUAGGUGCCUGCCUACCCUGCCCCCAACGCAAAGGGCAUCGCACCUGGACUUGGACCCGGAGAGGGGCCUUCCCGCCAUGUUUAGCAUCUACUGUGAAUUCUGCUGGUUUGUUGACAGCUACACCAGUCUUCUCCAAGCCAGGCCCACGUGCCUUCACCUGGUAAGAGAACACCCAAGUUUCAGGGGACCAAGUCAAGGCCACCAAACCACAAGCCAGGCGUGGCAGCUGGGGAUAGAGUGCCAGGAGCAUGGUGCUGGAUAUACCAGUUUAGGGCCUGGGCUCAGGACCCCAUCCUGGUUGACAAAACAGGGAUGUGCCCACCCCCAGUGGGCUUCCUAAGCAAAGGCAGGAGAGACUCAGGCUAGUGCUGCACGCCCUUUACCCUGUCUGGGUGAAAGUCCUGGGGUGCAUCACGGAUGUCAGCCAUGAAUGGACUGAGGCGGAUGUCCUCGCUGUUACACAGCACAUGCACAGCAUACUCGCCAGCCUCUUGGGGCCAGUAGCGCACGUCACAGGAGCCAUCGCCUUUGUCAUCACAUUCAAUCUUGGCCUGUGAUGGACCUUCCACGGAGAAACCUGACAACAACCAUCAGUCCCAUUGAUGCCCUGGAGACUCAGGGCAUCCUCCACCCACAGGGGCCCACACUGAAGCCUCCAACUUACCCAGGGUGCCCACGUCGUCCCCAAUUGCCUCUACCACGAAGUCUGCUGACUUGCCAACGACACCGCCCUCCAGCCCAGGACCCCAGGCCCGCACCUUCUGAUUGCCACAUUCAGUGCCCACCUUCACCUCAAAGGGACUGCAAAUGGAAGAGCCACUUAGGGGAGAACUGAGAGGCACCAUCCUACAGAAGAGCCAUCCCGUGCCCAGCAACGUGGGCUAGGCGAGAAGACCAGUUUGGUUCCCCAUUGUCAGACAGACAGAAGACUUAGACAAUGCUGGUUGGUGGGGAAGAGUGCCUGGGAGCCUCACCUGCGCCCAAUGUUCUGGCCACCCCAUGUGAUGGUGACAGUGUAGGUGCCAGGGGCUGUGGGGUAAUACUCAAAGCCAUAAACGCCAUCCCCUAGGUC